rnacentral:misc_RNA from 1 species
AAAAAAUAGAAAACAAAAAAAAAACACUCCCCUUCAAAAAGCUUACAUGCAUAUGCAAUAUGAAAGUUGCCAUUAAUCUUAACUACUGAUGUAGCAUCACACAUAACAAUAUUUAAUGCAAUAUAUGCCAAUAUUCAGAUUCCACAUAGAACUAAGGAAACCAAACUCUGUGACAAACUUAAAUUUAACAUAGUAAACAGUAAAAAAAAUCACAGAAAACAGACUAGUUGAGCAAUAUGUCUUUGUUUAGGCAACUAGAAUAAAUAUGCAUUCUCCUACUCCUACAUAGUGAGCACACUUGACAUCCUGAUCAAUGGCAGAUCUAAACCUUUAAUGUUGGGGGGGGUGGGUGGGAGGGGCCCAAAUUAAA